CUGAAUCUGAGUGGCUGGC
rnacentral:piRNA from 1 species